UAUUCUUUAUUUUCCCUUUUCAUAAAAAUAAUUUCUCACACUUCUAUCAAGACCAAAGACUACCAAUGUACAAUAAAAAUCUACCACCAAUUCUAUUAGAUGAUAAAGCUUACAAACCCAUAUCUUAUCAUUAGAAACAACAACUAAAUUAAAUGAAACAAAGUAAAGUUAUGUAUUGAGGAUUUGGAAUAGAGUAAAGUUACCAACUGAAUACGUAGUCAUGGAUGAAGGUGAAGAGGAAGAAGAAGAAUACAAAUUAGAGGAGAGGAAG
rnacentral:lncRNA from 1 species